GUAUAAGGGGCGGGCCAGCGUUUACGAUAGAAAUUCCUCAUACACGGUAUUAUCCCAAACGCCAAAGCGACCGUUAUACACCUGAAUCUGACGCGUCAGCCGACUAACGCCGCCACCGGGACCGCAGAAGUUCCUCCUACCACAGCUACGAUGAGCGUCACCUAUCGUGGACGCUUUCGCUCUGGCUCACCCGAGUAUUCAAGUCCCGC
rnacentral:misc_RNA from 1 species